GGAGCGCAGGUAGAAGGCAGCAGCUCACAGGAAUGGAGCCUGGGAACCCAGACUGUGGGGAGAGAGGGACAGCCUGCUGGCGGGGCAGGGACUGUGGGAGUCACCCCAACAAACAUUGGUAGGGAGCCACUGAAAUGAUUAAGCCAACCUGUGGCACGCCUAGAUUGAGGUUUUAGAAAGAUUCUGGUGGUCUCCAUCUGGGUGGUUAAUUAGAAAGGAAAGAAACUUGAAGACUAGCCCAAAAUAAAUAAAAGCCAAUCCAAGGCAGCGACGGUGUGCGCUGGGAAACCAGGAGAGAAAAGCAACAAGAACUCAGCAGUUACUUGGGAACAAUGUGGAGAAAGGGAGGAAUGCUAACGAGGACAGAAGGAAGAUUAUAGUUGACAGUGGGAAGCUGAAGCCUUAAAAAGUGAAAGUUCAUGCUGUGGUUUCUGUGUGGUGUCCCCCAAAAGCUCACAUGUGAGACAAUGGAAGAAGAUUCAGAGAAAAAAUGAUUAGAUUAUGAGAGUCCUGACCCAAUCCGUGAAUUAAUCACCUGAUAGGAUUAACUGAAAGGUAACUAAAGGUAAGUGGGGUGUGGCUGGAGGAGGUGAGGCUUUGGGGGUUUGGCUGUGGGGUAUAUAUUUGUAUCUGGUGAGUGGAGUCUCUCUGUCUGCUUUCUGAUUGUCAUGUGAGCUGCUUCCCUUCAUCACACUCUUCCACCAUGAGAUUCUGUCACCUUGAGCCCCAAGAAAUGGACCCAGCUGCCCAUGGACUGAGACCUCUGAAACUGUGAACCCCAAAUAAACCUUUUCUUCCUCUGCAGUUGUUCUGGUCUGGUCCUUUAGUCACAGCAGCAAAAAAGCUGACUAAAACAGAAAUUGGUACUGAGAAGUGGGGUCAUUGCUGUGACUAAACUGACCAUGUGAUUCAGAAGCUUUUGGAGGUUUUUGGAAUCAGUUGGAGAAAUUUUGAGAUGUGUAGCAGUGCAAGCUGGAAAUGCUUUAGAUUGUUGUAAGUGGAGUUUAAUGGCCGAUUAUGGUGGGAGCUCAGAAGACCAGGAUGCCAAUAGGACCCUGGACAGUGAGGACAGGGCUCAAGAGGGUUCAGAGAAGGAGAAUUCUAUUGGAAUUUAAAGUAGAGGCCAUUCAUGUUAUAUUCUGGUUGAGAAGUUAUCUGCAUUUUACCCAAGUUCUGAUACUUUCUGUGAGGCUGAUAUUAAGUGAUGGACUUCUUAAUCUGGUGGAAGAAAUGCCUAGGCAUUCAGGAAAUUGCAUGAUAUUUCUGGCAGCUUUUAUUUGUUUAUUUUGAUAUUCAGAAGCAGAAAGCAGAGCAGAAAGAUUUGAAAAACUUGGACUUGAAAGGUAGGAGUAAAACUGGGGCUAAGGAAGUUGCAGUUGUUAAAGACAUUACUGGCACAAAAGAAAUCCUGAAGACUUUGUUUAGAGACAAUAAGAAAGAUGGCCUGAGGGCAACUCAGGAGCUGGCAAGACCAUAUCCAUCUCAGGCUCCAGGGAAUAAAAGUGAAAAUUCUCAUGAGAAGAGACCAGUGAAAAAUCCUUCUUGCCCAAGGGGGCCUUGGAAGUUUUCUCAAUGUGCUCAGCCACCCAGGCACUUAGAGGCUGCUACAGCCAGGGUCCUUGGAAGCUUGGCUACUGCUCAAGAUGGCAGCAGAAAUUGGUGUCAACCACACGGUGCUGUAGGAAUGCAGGAUGCUGGAGUUAGGAGGCCAUGGAGGCUCCCACCAAGAUAUCAAAGGAAGGCUUGGGAAGCAGGCAGAGUGCAGCAGGGUCAGAGUCCCUGCAGGCAGCCCCGGAGAGGGCCAUGUGUGGAGAUUUGAGGAGGAAGCCAAAGCUGCAGUGGAGACCCCAAAAUUAAGAAAUGCCAUUACAAUGAAAUGUCUGCCAAGGAAGGCUGCAGGAAUCAAGCUGAGACAAGCCAACAGAAAGGCCACUUGGACUGCAGCUAACACGGCCAUAGGGAUGGAGGUACACAAGCCCUUUGGAUAGAACAUCACCAUGCCAUGUGCCCCAGAUGCUGAACAUCAAGUUACAGGACUUGUUUGCCCAGCUGAAUUUCAGUUUUGCUUUGUUCCUAUCCCUUCUUUCUAUGCCCCCUUUUUUCCUAAAUGGAAAUGUUCACUGUCUACCAUUAUAUAUUGGAUACUUGUAGAUUGCUUUUAAUUUUAUAGGAGCUCACAAUGCAAGAUUGCCUUGAGCCUAAGAGAAGACUUUGGACUUGAACUCUUGAGUAUACCCUAAGUCAGGUAUUUGACAUGGCAUUUUACACCACUUAAUCAAUUAUUUGUCAGUGCUACCAAUCAAGGACCACUAGGAACACACAUGUUAGCAAUGAAGUUUAUUUUAUCAACUUCCCACAGCAAGGGAUUCUGGCACUCUGCAGGAAAAACCAUGGGGUAUCUCAGGAAGAGGGAUAUGGAAAGAGCUGGUUAAAGAAAUUGCAUUGAUGUUAAGUGAUUUGGGGAAAAGUCAAAAGACACAGGUAUAUUUUGUGUGUCUACCCUCUAAAUGGAGGGCAAUGCAGUAAUUGGUAUGUUAAUUUUAUUCCAGGAGGCUGAAGAAACAGAAUAUAGUUAGAUUGUCAUGAGAGAUAAAAAACAGCAGCCAUUCCUGUUAGCUAAAUAUUUGAUCAUUUUUAUGGUUGCAUGGGAUCUCUGUCAGGUGUCAUUAUGGAGCAGACCUGGUUCUUUUCCCAUUCCACCAUCAUCAUGAAGAAUCCUCUUCUAACACUGAUAUUCUGUGAAAUUAUUUGUGUUCAGCAGGAGAACACUAUGGCCUUGUCAGAGAAAUUAGGUCAACUACCAGGUAAUAAGUAUCAGGGCUGCUAUUUUUCUUUGAGUUUAUCUGGGUGGGGUGAUAAGCUUUGCUGUCCGGGUCUUUUUAUCUUCAAAAUUCUGCUCACCAGAAUAGUCUAACUUGGACAAAUGUCAGUCCCUUCUGGUCUUUCUAUUAUAGAAUGAGUUAUUGGAUCAUCCGAUAUGAAAACUAGCUACAUAGUAAAACUUAAGAAUCUAGACAAGAGGCACUGACCUACUGCAAUACAGGCAAUUACCUUAUUUCAAGAAAAAUUAUUAGAUAGGAGAAACAUUAUUCAUUUAGUGGCCUACAUCACCAACCCCAGGUCUCAAAAGUGUGCUUUAAAAAUGCAAGUGCAAGGGGCUGGGGUUGGGGCUGGAGCUGGGAUUGGGGCUCCUGGUAGAGCGCUUGCCCAGCAUGCGUGGGGCACUGGGUUUGAUCCUCAGCACCUUAUAAAAAUAAAUAAAUAAAAUAAAGGUAUUGUGUCCAUCUAAAACUAAAAAUAUUUUUUAAAAAUGCAAGUGGAUCUUAUUGUAUCAUAAACUCCCUUUGGUUAGCUAAGAAGAAACUCAGGGCCAUGUGAUCAUCCAUAAAAGUCCCCAGGAAUGAAUUUAAACUGCUUUAAUGGGCUUCAGGUGGCAGUGUCCAUAUAAGAAAUAGUUCUCCAGUGGGGCAUGGAGAAUACAAAUAUUGCUUAUCUUAGAAGGAGUGAACCAAUCACUGGGCCCUAAGGGAAGACGUGUAUUCUGAAUGAAGUGAACCAGUUCCUAUAGAUAUAAUGACUCUGCAAACAGACAAUAGGGUAGUUCCCAUUGCUUAUGAACCAGGUUUAGUUGGCAGGAAUUUUUUUGUUUGUUUCUAUUUGUGGUGAUGGGGAUAAAACCAGUACCCCUCACACACUAAGAAGUUUGUGUGUUAAUGACUAGUUGGCAGGGUUUAUGAAAUCAUAAGUACUUUUAAAUUUUUCCCAUUAGAUUUGUAGGCUACCCAGAUAAGGUAUUUUCUUUGCUUAAAAGUAAUUCAUCAGCCAGUUACUUAAGAGAAAUAGUAAUAAAGACUUCUUUUAUGUCAUAUGAUUUUUUUUAUAUAUUUUACUGGUGCAUUAUAGUUGUACAUAGUACUUUCUGAUGUGGAGGCAAAGUCUGUUUUUUUUUUUUUUUCCCUAAGGUUGAUAGCUGGAAUUCAUAAUGUAAGAGAAAUAUCAAGGCCAAAGAAAAUCUAUCUUGAAAAGUUGUUAUUAUUAUUUAUUUUAUUAUUUUGGUGGUACUAGGGAUUGAACCCAGGGGUGUUCUACCACUGAGCUACACCCCCAACCUCUUUUUUAAAAUUUUGGUUUGCUUUAGUUUAUUGAACAUCUUUCUAACAUAAACUAUGAGAAAGCAACUCUGAUUCAAUGGAAGAGAUGCCAAGAGUCAAGAUUAAUAUUCAUUAUUAGCGUAUAAAACUGAGGGAAGGAUUUGUGCCCAGCCCUUUUUAAUUUUUAUUUUUUAUUUUGAGACAGGGUCUUGCUAAGUUGCCUUAAACUUUCAAUCCUCCUGCCUCAGCCUCCGAAGUAGAUGAUAUUACAGGAUUCUACCACCACACCUAUCAAAAAAGUUAUCUUGUGACAUAAAAAGAAAAAAUCCAAAUUGGAAUUUUUCUUCUUUUAUUUCACCAUUGAUAUAACAAUUAGUAAUAAAGACUUUACUAAUUCUCCUUUGCAUGUAAGUA